rnacentral:rRNA from 1 species
AUGGCCGAGUGGUCUAAGGCGCCAGACUCAAGUUCUGGUCCUCUUACGAGGGCGUGGGUUCAAACCCCACUUCUGACAUAUUUUCUUUUUUUAACUUUCUAUAUAUCGAUUUUUAGUUAUUUUUUAUUUUCGGCCUUUGCUUUUAUGUUCUGUCCUUAA